rnacentral:rRNA from 2 species
UUUAUAUGCCCCCCCGCCACGCGGUAAUACGUAGGUGGCAAGCGUUAUCCGGAUUUAUUGGGCGUAAAGAGAGUGCAGGCGGUUUUCUAAGUCUGAUGUGAAAGCCUUCGGCUUAACCGGAGAAGUGCAUCGGAAACUGGAUAACUUGAGUGCAGAAGAGGGUAGUGGAACUCCAUGUGUAGCGGUGGAAUGCGUAGAUAUAUGGAAGAACACCAGUGGCGAAGGCGGCUACCUGGUCUGCAACUGACGCUGAGACUCGAAAGCAUGGGUAGCGAACAGGAUUAGAUACCCUGGUAGUCCAUGCCGUAAACGAUGAGUGCUAGGUGUUGGAGGGUUUCCGCCCUUCAGUGCCGGAGCUAACGCAUUAAGCACUCCGCCUGGGGAGUACGACCGCAAGGUUGAAACUCAAAGGAAUUGACGGGGGCCCGCACAAGCGGUGGAGCAUGUGGUUUAAUUCGAAGCUACGCGAAGAACCUUACCAGGUCUUGACAUCUUGCGCCAACCCUAGAGAUAGGGCGUUUCCUUCGGGAACGCAAUGACAGGUGGUGCAUGGUCGUCGUCAGCUCGUGUCGUGAGAUGUUGGGUUAAGUCCCGCAACGAGCGCAACCCUUGUUACUAGUUGCCAGCAUUAAGUUGGGCACUCUAGUGAGACUGCCGGUGACAAACCGGAGGAAGGUGGGGACGACGUCAGAUCAUCAUGCCCCUUAUGACCUGGGCUACACACGUGCUACAAUGGACGGUACAACGAGUCGCGAACUCGCGAGGGCAAGCAAAUCUCUUAAAACCGUUCUCAGUUCGGACUGCAGGCUGCAACUCGCCUGCACGAAGUCGGAAUCGCUAGUAUCGCGAUCCAACUC